AUGGGCCGCCGACAGUACCACGCCGAUCGGACAGCGUACCCUCCUCCACUACAGCCUGCCCAGCCCCGGACUGCGCGCCCGAGCUGUGCGCAUGCGCGGACCGCCCGCACGGCCGCAACGCGCAGGCGCCGUGUCCACUUCCGGGAUCUGUCUGCCGCUCCCUCUGGGCUUCCGUCCUCCGCCCGCGCCCGCCGGAGCCUGUUCGCGUCGACUGCCCAGAGUCCGCGAAUCCUCCGCUCCGAGCCCGUCCGGACUCCCCCGAUCCCAGCUCUCUCUCCUCUGAAAACACUAAGAAUAAUGUCACUGCAUCAGUUUUUACUAGAGCCAAUCACCUGUCAUGCCUGGAACAGGGAUCGUACUCAGAUUGCCCUCAGUCCCAAUAAUCACGAAGUGCACAUCUAUAAGAAGAAUGGGAGCCAGUGGGUGAAAGCUCAUGAACUCAAGGAGCACAAUGGACACAUCACAGGUAUUGACUGGGCUCCCAAGAGCGACCGCAUCGUCACUUGUGGGGCAGACCGCAAUGCCUAUGUCUGGAGUCAGAAGGAUGGUGUCUGGAAGCCAACCCUGGUGAUCCUGAGAAUUAAUCGCGCAGCUACUUUUGUGAAGUGGUCCCCCCUAGAGAACAAAUUUGCUGUGGGAAGUGGAGCACGACUCAUUUCUGUUUGUUACUUUGAGUCUGAAAAUGACUGGUGGGUGAGCAAGCACAUUAAAAAGCCGAUUCGCUCCACAGUCCUCAGUUUGGAUUGGCAUCCCAACAACGUUUUGCUGGCAGCAGGAUCAUGUGACUUCAAAUGCAGAGUGUUUUCUGCCUACAUUAAAGAAGUGGAUGAAAAGCCAGCCAGCACACCCUGGGGCAGCAAGAUGCCUUUUGGGCAGCUGAUGUCAGAGUUUGGUGGCAGUGGCACUGGUGGCUGGGUCCACGGGGUCAGCUUCUCUGCCAGUGGGAGCCGCCUGGCCUGGGUCAGCCACGACAGCACCGUGUCUGUUGCUGAUGCCUCAAAAAGUGUGCAGGUCUCAACUCUGAAGACGGAGUUCCUGCCGCUCCUGAGUGUGUCAUUUGUCUCAGAGAACAGCGUCGUGGCUGCUGGCCAUGACUGCUGCCCAAUGCUCUUUAACUACGAUGACCGUGGCUGCCUGACCUUCGUCUCCAAGUUAGACAUUCCAAAACAGAGCAUCCAACGCAACAUGUCUGCCAUGGAACGCUUCCGCAACAUGGACAAGAGAGCCACGACUGAGGACCGCAACACGGCCUUGGAGACGCUGCACCAGAAUAGCAUCACGUAGGUGCCAUCUGUAGAGAGGUGGUCAGGUGACAAGGUGCCCUCCUGCCCCUCGCUGUUUCCUUACUGGGUUCCUACAAAAGCUCUAUGCCCCGCAGGCCCAGACAUUCCUUCAGGGACAAGCGCAGCAAGAAGUCUGUAUCUUCCCGACCGCCAGGCUCUCAUUUCCAGCUCGUGGUAGGGAGGGAGUCGCCACCACCUGGUCAUUCUGUCCUUCAAGGUGCAGAUUACAAGGCAGCAGCCAGCAGGAGCAGUGCAGACCUUGUUGCAGUCUGAGGUGGUGGGGUCUCAGGGCAACUGCUUCCUAGGGUACCCUUUCUCAGCUACUCGAGAACAAAAGGAGACUUUCCUGAAUGCUGUGUUCCCACAGUAGUGCACACAUAACAGAAAGCGAAGUUACAGCCUGUUGGAAAAGGUAACUGUAGCUGUCGUUUCAAGUAAUGGAUACAAAUAAGAAGAUUAUUUAAUUAAAGGAACAGAAUUUCUUAGCAUCAUGAUGACAAAGCUGAGGAGUGUCUCGACUGGGUUUUUAUCAGGUAUAUGUAAUUAUGUAAGACAACAGAACUGUGUUUUGUCCAGAAAGUUUGAUUUUUUUUUUUUUUUUUUUGAGACAGAGUCUCGCUCUGUUGACCAGGCUGGAGUUGCAGUGAGCCAAGAUUGAGCCACUGCACUCCAGCCUGGGUGACAGAGUGAGAUUCCAUCUCAAAAAAAAAAAAGGUGCCUGGAGGAGAAAUAUAUGCUUGAUAUUUUAAAUUACUGUGUUCAGAGUUGGGUCCCAUGGGCUUUUCCCUUACUGAGAAGCCUUUUAUGUUGAGAAUCUUAUUGUGGUAUUGAUGGUGGCAGGAGUAACGGAAACCUCUAGACUUCCUGUUUGAGAGAAUUACGAUGAAAUGCAGGUUGUGCUUUAUCUUCAGCAGAGAAGGGGCAGCUAUAUGUAAAAUAGGCUGCAAAUACUCUAUUGAAAAAUGAGAACCAGAGGUCUGGCACCAUGGCUCACACCUGUAAUGCUAGCAUUUUGGGAAGCCAAGGCAGGAGGAUCACUUGAGGCCAGCAGUUCAGUACCAUCCUGGGCAACAUAGCAAGACCCCAUCUCUACAAAAAAAUUUUUAAAAGUUAGCUGGCUGUGUUGGCACGCACCUGCAGUCCCAGCUACUUGGGAGGAGUGAGCUGUGAUUGUGCCACUGUAUUUCAUCCUGGGCUACAUUGCGAGAUCCUAUCUCAAAAAAAAAAAAAAAAGAACCUGAAGGCAUAGCAAAACUUACCUUUUCUCCACAUUGUUCAGGUUUCUCCUUCUAUAGCAAAACUCACCUUUUCUCCAUUCUUUAGGUUUCUCUGUCUUGAAUGACUCCGAGUUACUUCUUGUGAGUUUCUCUUAUGUUUCUAUACAGACCAAGUGCUAAGGAAAGAAACAGCUCUCAUUGCCUCUCUGAUACUUCUAGGUGAAAAAUGAAAAGACAAACCCUUGCUGAUUAGUCUACUUUUAUUUGCAGAAAUUAGGUGCUCUUUGCACUAAAGCUGUGUCAGCUAACUUUUUUUGUAAAGGACCAGAUAGUAAAUACUUUAGACUCUGAGAGGCCAUAGGUCUCUGUUGCAACUACGGAACUCUGGUUGUGGCAAGAAAGCAGGCACAGACAAUGUAAACGAAUCAGGUGGCUGUGUUCCCAUCAAACUUUAUAGACACUGAAAUUUGAAUUUCACGUAAUUUUCACUUCAUGAGAUAAUAGUCUCCUUUUAAUUUUUUUCCAGCUAUUUAAAGAUGUAAAAGCUGGGUCAAGUGCGGAGGCUCACACCUGUAAUCCCAGCACUUUGGGAGGCUGAGGUGGGCGGAUCACUUGAGGUCAGGAGGUCAAGACCAGCCUGACCAACAUGGUGAAACCCCGUCUCUACUAAAAAUACAAAAAUUCGCCAGCCUGGUGGCAGGUGCUUGUAAUCCCAGCUGCUCGAGAGGCUGAGGCAGGAGAAUUGCUUGAACCUGGGAGGUAGAGGUUGCAGUGAGCCGAGAUCAUGCCACUGCACUCCAGCCUGAGUGACAGAGUGAGACUCCAUCUCAAUAAAUAAAUAAAAUAAAAAUGUAAAACCCCCUUUUUUUUUUUUUGAGACGGAGUCUCUGUUGCCUAGGCUGGAGUACAGUGGCACGAUCUUGGCUCACU